AAGGGUACGGUAUAAUUGGUUGUUGCAGUUAGUUUGUAAGAACUAGCAAUUUGUGGGUUCGAUUCCCACUACCCUUGCCA
rnacentral:tRNA from 1 species